rnacentral:tRNA from 1 species
GGCAGUGAUAAGCUCAGUGGUAGAGUUGUUGCCCAGCAUGCACAAGACCAUGGGUUUGAUUUCCAGCACUGCCC